ensembl:lncRNA
UUUAUGCAGCGUGAUACGCAACGCAACACGUAAAUAGACAGUAUAAGUCAUUACAAUCAGUAAUAAUGUCCCCACUGGAUGCAACAAAUGCUUUAUUAUAAUGGGUUUUAUUGUUUUUGUUUUGUACACAGCAUCACAGUAUGGUAAGGGGCAUAACAUUUCCGUCACACUAUAGCUGGCCAAUCAGUGUACACCUCGCUUUUCAGAAUGAUGAGCUUUGUAAAAAUCGGCGUGUUUCAAAAAGGCGGGGCAUAGAGGAGAAACAAUAAUGUUCAUUAUGUGGAAAAUAAUGUGUCUUUUGAACCUUAAACCACAUAAACACAUUGCAUUACACCAAAUACACAAAAUAAUGUUCUUUUUAGCAACGUCAUAUGACCCCUUUAAUGACACAACACGCAGGUGUUUGUAAUCAAGUUAGAAUCACAAAGUCAGAUUAUUGUAGUUCAUUUACAUGAACAAUUUAUGGCAGCUCAUUGUUAACAUGCAAUGUAAUUGGCGCAGACUUUUCUACACAACCUUUUUUUUAUUUUCAGAAAUGCUGCUUUAGAAAACAAGACAUCUACUGACUAUGUUACUAUUAUUUAUCUCCAUCAUUUACCUUUAUUUAAUGUUUGAUUCAUUGCUGGUUCCAAAUUAUGCCAUAAUGCAAGGUUCCCUUGCAUGCGUGAAGAGAUGUUGGUUGUUUACACACUAAAACACAUAGAAAGAAAUGUAUAUAUUUUUUAAAUACCUGAUAGGGAAUAUACAGCAUGUCAGCUUGCUUAAUUUGCACAAGAGCAUGAUCCAUGUAAGUCCACACUGGGCGAGAGCUGCAGUUCCAAACACACAACUUUGCGUUACUGUUUGCGAAUGUUCAUUGGAACUAUUGGUUUCAGGAAACACUGAAACUUUGAACUAUGUUGGUAAUGGUGGAACCUGUGAUGACAGUAACAAUCUUUUUGAAAACAACCCCGUUUGGAACAGGUUCUUUGGACAAACACUUAACUACACACAGGAUUGUGGGAUACCAAAGAAGCAAAGGGUUACAUAUGCUGUCUUCAGAAACCUAUCAGUUGAAGGCAUUGUAGUUAACAAGAUGUUAAGGCUGGAAUAAACCGCAAGACUUUUGCACAAAUUUUUGCCCCGAUUUGGAUAAAUUGAUGUUAUUUGGUCAAAAAAUCAAAGCCAGUUUGCGAAUUUUGUGCAGUUGACUUUGACAUAUUUUACAGUAAAUCCUGUAGUGUAUGAUGGGCAGUUCUGACCUCCAUAUUCAGCUCUCAAACACAGCCACAGUUCUGACAAAUGCUGCUUUAAUUGCAAAUUUACUCUGAUAUUGAAUCUGAUGAAUGUUCUCUAUCUGAUGUGCAGAUAUGUUGAGCAGAAAGAAAUGGAAAUUAAGAUUAAGUCUGAAGUGGGCUUGUCCUGGUUGUUGGAUGUGCAGAUGCUGGGAUGGAUAUUCCACCAGACUGUAUGUUAAUGUUAUGUUUUUCAGAUGCAUUUUCUCUCUUUCUCAUCUCGGUGGAGAAGCAGGUAAUAAAGCAAUGUUCUGAUUGGCCACUUGGGCACAUCAUCAUCAAUGAGCCCACUGUAGCAUCUCACAUGCUUGUUUUAUAAGAGCUCUUGUACUGCAUUCAGCCACAUGAGACCAGCUUCCAUACAUAUAUAAACAUGACAGGAUGCUUGUUGAUCUAAAUAUUUAAUAAUACAUUAAAAAUUCAAUUCAUGCAAUGACCUCAGUAUACGCGUUGUAUGAAGAAAACUGUUUUAUUUCUCAAUUAAAAUUAAUUUAGACACUUUUAAGGGCUGUAAAGCAAAAAUGUCAGGUGGUGCAACUGUCCAGAAAUAUGUGGCCAUGGGGCUCUUAAAAAAUGUUUAACC